rfam:Gossypium hirsutum cultivar TM-1 unplaced genomic scaffold scaffold280.1, whole genome shotgun sequence
UGUUAAAAAUUUCAUUCAUUUGUGCUAUCAAAAACUGGUUUAGCGUGCCAUGUGUAUCUUAUGUUGAUGUACAAAAACCAGUUUUUAAUAGUAGAAAUGAAUGGAGUUCUUACCA